rnacentral:tRNA from 1 species
AUUUAUAUAGUUUAAAUAAAACAUUACAUUUUCACUGUAAAAAUAAUAGACCUUUUAUUUAUAAAUA